GGGAAGGUGGCUCAGUGGUAGAGCGCUUGCCUUGCAUGCCUGAGGCCCUGGGUUCGCUUGCCUUGCAUGCCUG
rnacentral:tRNA from 1 species